CGGACGGGUGAGUAACACGUGAGAAUUUGCCUUUAGGAGGGGGACAACAGCUGGAAACGGUUGCUAAUACCCCAUAUGCUUUCGAGUGAAAUGGAUUUAUCCGCCUAGAGAGAGGCUCGCGGCUGAUUAGCUUGUUGGUAGGGUAAGAGCCUACCAAGGCGACGAUCAGUAUCUGGUUUGAGAGGACGAUCAGACACACUGGAACUGAGACACGGUCCAGACUCCUACGGGAGGCAGCAGUGGGGAAUUUUCCGCAAUGGGCGAAAGCCUGACGGAGCAAUACCGCGUGAGGGAAGACGGCCUAUGGGUUGUAAACCUCUUUUUUCAGGGAGGAAUUUUGACGUGUACCUGAAGAAUAAGCAUCGGCUAACUCCGUGCCAGCAGCCGCGGUAAGACGGAGGAUGCAAGUGUUAUCCGGAAUCACUGGGCGUAAAGCGUCUGUAGGUGGUUAAGCAAGUCAACUGUUAAAUCUUGAGGCUCA
rnacentral:rRNA from 1 species